rnacentral:rRNA from 1 species
ACAGGAAUUCCCCUAGUACGGCGAGUGAACCGGGAAGAGCUCAAAUUUGAAAUCUGGCGUCCUCAGGGCGUCCGAGUUGUAAUCUAUAGAGGCGUUUUCCGUGCCGGACCGUGUCCAAGUUCCUUGGAACAGGAUAUCAAAGAGGGUGACAAUCCCGUACUUGACACGACGACCGGUGCUCUGUGAUACGUCUUCUACGAGUCGAGUUGUUUGGGAAUGCAGCUCAAAAUGGGUGGUGAGUUCCAUCUAAAGCUAAAUAUUGGCGAGAGACCGAUAGCGAACAAGUACCGUGAGGGAAAGAUGAAAAGCACUUUGGAAAGAGAGUUAAACAGUACGUGAAAUUGUUGAAAGGGAAACGAUUGAAGUCAGUCGUGACCGAGAGGCUCAGCCGGUUCUGCCGGUGUAUUCCCCUCGGUCGGGUCAACAUCAGUUUUGUCUGGUGGAUAAGGGCGGUAGGAAGGUGGCACCCUCGGGUGUGUUAUAGCCUGCCGUCGCAUACAUCGGGUGAGACUGAGGAACGCAGCUCGCCUUUAUGGCCGGGGUUCGCCCACGUCCGAGCUUAGGAUGUUGACAUAAUGGCUUUAAACGACCCGUCUUGAAAMMMSGGAMMAAAAA